GAUCCUGGCUCAGGACGAACGCUGGCGGCGUGCUUAACACAUGCAAGUCGAACGAAGCAACCAUGAAGCCUAGCGAUUGGUUGACUGAGUGGCGGACGGGUGAGUAACGCGUGGGUAACCUGCCUCAUACAGGGGGACAACAGUUAGAAAUGACUGCUAAUACCGCAUAACCCGCUAGGGCCGCAUGGCCCGGACGGAAAAGGAGCAAUCCGGUAUGAGAUGGACCCGCGUCUGAUUAGCUGG
rnacentral:rRNA from 1 species